rnacentral:rRNA from 1 species
AGAGUUUGAUCCUGGCUCAGAAUCAACGCUGGCGGCGCGCCUAACACAUGCAAGUCGAACGAGAAAGUGGAGCAAUCCAUGAGUAAAGUGGCGUACGGGUGAGUAACACGUGGAUCAUCUGCCUUUUAGUGAGGAAUAACCAUGGGAAACCGUGGCUAAUACCGCAUAAGCCCGAGAGGGGAAAGUCGAAAGACGCUGAAAGAGGAGUCCGCGGCCGAUUAGCUGGUUGGUAGGGUAAAAGCCUACCAAGGCAAAGAUCGGUAGCCGGCCUGAGAGGGCACACGGCCACACUGGCACUGAAACACGGGCCAGACUCCUACGGGAGGCAGCAGUGGGGAAUCUUGCACAAUGGGGGAAACCCUGAUGCAGCGACGCCGCGUGAGCGAUGAAGCCCUUCGGGGUGUAAAGCUCUUUCGGCAGGGAAGAUUAUGACGGUACCUGCAGAAGCAGCUGCGGCUAACUACGUGCCAGCAGCCGCGGUAAUACGUAGGCAGCGAGCGUUGUUCGGAGUUACUGGGCGUAAAGGGUGUGUAGGCGGUUGUUUAAGUUUGGUGUGAAAUCUCCCGGCUCAACUGGGAGGGUGCGCCGAAUACUGAAUGACUUCGAGUGCGGGAGAGGAAAGUGGAAUUCCUGGUGUAGCGGUGAAAUGCGUAGAUAUCAGGAGGAACACCGGUGGUGUAGACGGCUUUCUGGACCGUAACUGACGCUGAGACACGAAAGCGUGGGUAGCAAACAGGAUUAGAUACCCCUGUAGUCC